rnacentral:rRNA from 1 species
GACGAACGCUGGCGGCGUGCUUAACACAUGCAAGUCGAACGGUAAGGCUCCAGCUUGCUGGGGUACACGAGUGGCGAACGGGUGAGUAACACGUGGGUGACCUGCCCUGCACUUCGGGAUAAGCCUGGGAAACUGGGUCUAAUACCGGAUAGGACCGCACCGUGAGGGUGUGGUGGAAAGUUUUUUCGGUGUGGGAUGGGCCCGCGGCCUAUCAGCUUGUUGGUGGGGUAAUGGCCUACCAAGGCGGCGACGGGUAGCCGGCCUGAGAGGGUGGACGGCCACAUUGGGACUGAGACACGGCCCAGACUCCUACGGGAGGCAGCAGUGGGGAAUAUUGCACAAUGGGCGGAAGCCUGAUGCAGCGACGCCGCGUGGGGGAUGACGGCCUUCGGGUUGUAAACUCCUUUCACCAUCGACGAAGGGUUUCUGACGGUAGAUGGAGAAGAAGCACCGGCUAACUACGUGCCAGCAGCCGCGGUAAUACGUAGGGUGCGAGCGUUGUCCGGAAUUACUGGGCGUAAAGAGCUCGUAGGUGGUUUGUCGCGUCGUCUGUGAAAUUCCGGGGCUUAACUCCGGGCGUGCAGGCGAUACGGGCAUAACUUGAGUACUGUAGGGGAGACUGGAAUUCCUGGUGUAGCGGUGAAAUGCGCAGAUAUCAGGAGGAACACCGGUGGCGAAGGCGGGUCUCUGGGCAGUAACUGACGCUGAGGAGCGAAAGCAUGGGGAGCGAACAGGAUUAGAUACCCUGGUAGUCCAUGCCGUAAACGGUGGGCGCUAGGUGUGGGUUUCCUUCCACGGGAUCCGUGCCGUAGCUAACGCAUUAAGCGCCCCGCCUGGGGAGUACGGCCGCAAGGCUAAAACUCAAAGGAAUUGACGGGGGCCCGCACAAGCGGCGGAGCAUGUGGAUUAAUUCGAUGCAACGCGAAGAACCUUACCUGGGCUUGACAUAUACAGGAUCGCGCCAGAGAUGGUGUUUCCCUUGUGGCUUGUAUACAGGUGGUGCAUGGUUGUCGUCAGCUCGUGUCGUGAGAUGUUGGGUUAAGUCCCGCAACGAGCGCAACCCUUGUCUUAUGUUGCCAGCACGUUGUGGUGGGGACUCGUAAGAAACUGCCGGGGUUAACUCGGAGGAAGGUGGGGAUAACGUCAAAUCAUCAUGCCCCUUAUGUCCAGGGCUUCACACAUGCUACAAUGGUCGGUACAGUGGGUUGCCAGUCCGUGAGGGCGAGCUAAUCCCGCAAAGCCGGUCUCAGUUCGGAUCGGGGUCUGCAACUCGACCCCGUGAAGUCGGAGUCGCUAGUAAUCGCAGAUCAGCAACGCUGCGGUGAAUACGUUCCCGGGCCU